rnacentral:tRNA from 1 species
GGGCGCGUAGCUCAGCGGUACGAGCACUGCGUUGACAUCGCAGGGGUCACUGGUUCGAUCCCAGUCGCGCCCA